rnacentral:lncRNA from 1 species
AAUUCUGUUAUCAAGCUUGUUGUCAAACUUCAAUUGCCUUGGCUGGAAGCAAGACAUUUAGUCUCUUUAUGUAACACAUAUUUGUUGUUUGUUUUGGGUAGAUAUUACAGACUCUAUUACCUUAUUUGUAACCAAAUAUUUUAUGUUGGGUAGGAAACAGGAGCGACACAAAAUUUUCAUCAAAGGGAUUCAACAUUUGAAGAAGUAAACGGUGAAAGUUUCUGGUGCAUUCUUAUUCUAAUCCACUUUAUUUUUAUUGGACAGAGGAUCAAGACUUUCAGUGAACUAAUGUUUCGUUCAAAACUUGGGGAGAUUAAUGCUCGGUUAAGAAAGGAUGGGUUGAUAAGUACCUUAUCCUCUUCUCGUUUAUGAUCCAAACAUUUUGGUCUUCAAGGUGUUGUUGUUGCUUCGAAUCUUGUGGUGUGGAUAUGUUAUAAUAACAAAAUUAACCUGGAUAGGAUUGAAUCUAGAGUGGUUAAUCUCAUAAAGCGACAUGACUCGAUGUAAGUUCAUGGAAUUUCUAAUUUUGAGUUAUACAUUUAUUUGUUUUACUAGUAAUGUAAUGACAUUAAACAAUGUUCAUCACAGGCAUAAGGAUUUCCGAAGGAAAGGAAACAUAGCUGAAUGUGAAGCUGUAAAAGCAAUACUUCUACCUUUUCCAUAGAUUUCUGUUAAACCAGUAAUAAUCUUCCUCCUUGCAUUUUGUGCUCUACUUCUAGCUGAC